ACUUUUAUAGUAUAUAAAAUACAAAAGCUUUUCAUGCUUUAGAAAAAAGUAUUAUCUUUUUAAAAGUA
rnacentral:tRNA from 1 species